AGUUUGAUCCUGGCUCAGGAUGAACGCUAGCGGCAGGCUUAAUACAUGCAAGUCGUGGGGCAGCAGGUUUGUAGCAAUACAGAUGCUGGCGACCGGCAAACGGGUGCGGAACACGUACAGAACCUUCCUUUGAGCGGGGAAUAGCCCAGAGAAAUUUGGAUUAAUACCCCAUAGUAUAAUGAAGUGGCAUCACUUUAUUAUUAAAGAUUUAUCACUCGAAGAUGGCUGUGCGGCUGAUUAGGUAGUUGGCGGGGUAAAGGCCCACCAAGCCUGCGAUCAGUAACUGGUGUGAGAGCACGACCAGUCACACGGGCACUGAGACACGGGCCCGACUCCUACGGGAGGCAGCAGUAAGGAAUAUUGGUCAAUGGAGGCAACUCUGAACCAGCCAUGCCCGCGUGGAGGAUGAAGGUCCUCUGGAUUGUAAACUUCUUUUAUAUGGGGCGAAAAGAGGCUUUUCUAAGUCGUCUGACGGUACUAUAUGAAUAAGCACCGGCUAACUCCGUG
rnacentral:rRNA from 1 species